rnacentral:rRNA from 1 species
CCUACGGGGGGCAGCAGUGGGGAAUAGUGGGCAAUGGGCGCAAGCCUGACCCAGCAACGCCGCGUGAAGGAAGAAGGCUUUCGGGUUGUAAACUUCUUUUCUGAGGGACGAAGAAAGUGACGGUACCGCAGGAAUAAGCCACGGCUAACUACGGGCCAGCAGCCGCGGGAAGACGGAGGUGGCAAGCGUUAUGCUGAUUUAUUGGGUGUAAAGGGCGUGUAGGCGGGAAAGCAAGUCAGAUGGGAAAACUCAGGGCUCAACCCUGAGCCUGCAUUUGAAACUGUUUUUCUUGAGUGCUGGUGCGGCAAUCGGCAUUCCGUUUGUAGCGGUUAAAUGCGUAGAUAUACGGAGGACCCCCAGUGGCGACGGCGGCUUGCUGGACCGUACCUGACGCUGAGGCGCGACAGCGUGGGUAGCAAACCGGAUUAGAUACCCGAGUAGUC